rnacentral:rRNA from 1 species
GAUGAACGCUGGCGGCGUGCUUAACACAUGCAAGUCGAACGGAAAGGCCCAAGCUUGCUUGGGUACUCGAGUGGCGAACGGGUGAGUAACACGUGGGUGAUCUGCCCUGCACUUCGGGAUAAGCCUGGGAAACUGGGUCUAAUACCGGAUAGGACCACUUCUUGGAUGUUGUGGUGGAAAGUUUUUUCGGUGUGGGAUGAGCUCGCGGCCUAUCAGCUUGUUGGUGGGGUAAUGGCCUACCAAGGCGUCGACGGGUAGCCGGCCUGAGAGGGUGUACGGCCACAUUGGGACUGAGAUACGGCCCAGACUCCUACGGGAGGCAGCAGUGGGGAAUAUUGCACAAUGGGCGCAAGCCUGAUGCAGAGACGCCGCGUGGGGGAUGACGGCCUUCGGGUUGUAAACUCCUUUCGCUAGGGACGAAGCGUUUUGUGACGGUACCUGGAGAAGAAGCACCGGCUAACUACGU